rnacentral:rRNA from 1 species
AAUUUUGGACAUUGGUGGCAACCCUGAUCCAGCCAUCCCGCGUGAGCGCUGAAGGACUUCGGGUUGUAAAGCAAUUUUGGCAGGGAAGAAAAUGCUCUGGCUAAUACCCGGAGCUGCUGACGGUACCUGCAGAUUAAGCACCGGCUAACUACGAGCGAGCAGCCGCGGUAAUACGUAGGGUGCAGGCGUUAAUCGGAAUUACUGGGCGUAAAUCGUGCGCAGGCGGUUCGGCAAGAAGGAUGUGAAAUCCCAGGGCUUAACCUUGGAACUGCAUUCUUAACUGCCGGGCUAGAGUAUGUCAGAGGGGGGUAGAAUUCCGCGUGUAGCAGUGAAAUGCGUAGAGAUGCGGAGGAAUACCGAUGGCGAAGGCAGCCCCCUGGGAUAAUACUGACGCUCAUGCACGAAAGCGUGGGGAGCAAAC